AGUUUGAUCCUGGCUCAGGAUGAACGCUGGCGGCGUGCCUAAUACAUGCAAGUCGAACGAAUCUCUUUUAGAGAUGAGUGGCGAACGGGUGAGUAAUACAUAGGUAACCUGCCCCUGUGCGGGGGAUAACAGGAGGAAACUCCUGCUAAUACCGCAUAGCCAUGAGCACCGCAUGGAGCUCAUGCCAAAUAUCCUUUAUGGGAUAGCGCAGGGAUGGACCUAUGGCGCAUUAGCUGGUUGGCGGGGCAACGGCCCACCAAGGCAACGAUGCGUAGCCGGCCUGAGAGGGCGGACGGCCACAUUGGGACUGUGACACGGCCCAGACUCCUACGGGAGGCAGCAGUAGGGAAUUUUCGGCAAUGGGGGAAACCCUGACCGAGCAACGCCGCGUGAGCGAAGAAGGCCUUCGGGUCGUAAAGCUCUGUUGUAAAGGAAGAACGGCGCAUACAGGAAAUGGUAUGCGAGUGACGGUACUUUACCAGAAAGCCACGGCUAACUACGUGCCAGCAGCCGCGGUAAUACGUAGGUGGCGAGCGUUAUCCGGAAUCAUUGGGCGUAAAGAGGGAGCAGGCGGCCGCAAGGGUCUGUGGUGAAAGCCCGAAGCUAAACUUCGGUAAGCCAUGGAAACCGGGCGGCUAGAGUGCGGAAGAGGAUCGUGGAAUUCCAUGUGUAGCGGUGAAAUGCGUAGAUAUAUGGAGGAACACCAGUGGCGAAGGCGACGGUCUGGGCCGCAACUGACGCUCAUUCCCGAAAGCGUGGGGAGCAAAUAGGAUUAGAUACCCUAGUAGUCCACGCCGUAAACGAUGGUCACUAAGUGUCGGGGGUCAAACCCCGGUGCUGCAGUCAACGCAAUAAGUGACCCGCCUGAGUAGUACGUUCGCAAGAAUGAAACUCAAAGGAAUUG
rnacentral:rRNA from 1 species